GAUGAACGCUAGCGGGAGGCCUAACACAUGCAAGCCGAGCGGUAUUGUUUCUUCGGAAAUGAGAGAGCGGCGUACGGGUGCGGAACACGUGUGCAACCUGCCUUUAUCUGGGGGAUAGCCUUUCGAAAGGAAGAUUAAUACUCCAUAAUAUAUUGAACGGCAUCGUUUAAUAUUGAAAGCUCCGGCGGAUAGAGAUGGGCACGCGCAAGAUUAGCUAGUUGGUGAGGUAACGGCUCACCAAGGCAAUGAUCUUUAGGGGGCCUGAGAGGGUGAUCCCCCAAACUGGUACUGAGACACGGACCAGACUCCUACGGGAGGCAGCAGUGAGGAAUAUUGGUCAAUGGGUGCAAGCCUGAACCAGCCAUCCCGCGUGAAGGACGACUGCCCUAUGGGUUGUAAACUUCUUUUGUAUAGGGAUAAACCUACCCUCGUGAGGGUAGCUGAAGGUACUAUACGAAUAAGCACCGGCUAACUCCGUGCCAGCCGCCGCCGUAACAC
rnacentral:rRNA from 1 species